GACGAACGCUGGCGGCGUGCUUAACACAUGCAAGUCGAACGGUAGGGCUCCAGCUUGCUGGGGUACACGAGUGGCGAACGGGUGAGUAACACGUGGGUGACCUGCCCUGCACUUCGGGAUAAGCCUGGGAAACUGGGUCUAAUACCGGAUAGGACCAUGGUGUGGAUACUGUGGUGGAAAGUUUUUUCGGUGUGGGAUGGGCCCGCGGCCUAUCAGCUUGUUGGUGGGGUAUUGGCCGACCAAGGCGGCGACGGGUAGCCGGCCUGAGAGGGUGGACGGCCACAAUGGGCCUGAGACACGCACCAGACUGCUACGGGAGGCAGCAGGGGGGAACAUGGCACAACGGGGCGAAGCCUGAGGCAGCGACGCCGCGUGGGGGAUGACGUCCUUCGGGUUGUAAACUCCUUUCACCAUCGACGAAGGGUUUCUGACGGUAGAUGGAGAAGAAGCACCGGCUAACUACGUG
rnacentral:rRNA from 1 species